rnacentral:lncRNA from 1 species
GUGAAUUCUAACAACAAAUUCCAUUAAUGUGCAUAAUUAUAAUUCAUCAAGAAAAUUUUAAAAAGGUACAGAUAUUUGCAGAAACAUAAACUUUGGUGAUCAGCUUUUAGCUUCCUUGGUUUUCUCUGGGACAUCCAUGUUUUAGGAGGGAUAUGGAAGGCUGCCGAUACCUAGCAAGUUGUGAAGGUGCUCAGAAGUAGUUAGUUGAACCCUUUGUGUUCAUAUUCCUUAGGGAAGAAAAGAAUCACAUUUCCAGCUCACUGAAUCUCGUACAUUUUAUGCCACUCCCAACUGUCUGCUGAGGCAUUGACUUUAGUCUUGAAUGUGCUAGUUGGGGACUGGGUUGUAGAACUCAGGAGACCUGUCUGCUAAGCAAAAGCUCCCUUGUGUGACUUUCCAUUCUCACUGUUGUCUUUAGCAGGGCAUUAUUACAGUGGUUGGGUUGUACAGUGAAAACAGUGACUAAGUUAAUUUAUAGUGAAAUGGACCCUUUUUUAGAACUGGGACCUAAAAUCCUACUCUGGAGUGAUAGGAUUAGAGUUGCUUUUGAUUGAACAUCAGUUCAUUAGAUGAGGUUUAAGAGAAUUACCCCCUUGUGUUUGGAGCAUAAUGCCACCCAGGUGCAGGUAUCUUCACAACUCCAGGUCCCAUACCUGCCACAGGAAAUCAGACUGGAGUUGAAGGGAACAAACUGGGUACACACCGGCUGAGUCAAAAGCUCCAGGUCCUUUCAGGAUCACCAGGUGUGAAGUGGAGGAGGAUAGAUGGGACUGGAAAAGGGUCUAGUAUACAAGAAAUGGGCGACCUCAGCAGGUUGCCUUCCUAUGAUGGUAAGCUACUGUUUUUAAGGUCAGCUGGGGGUGGGGAGAAGAGCUGGAAUUACUUGCCAGUCAUUGAUGUCCUAUUUAGUGCGGGCUGACUGAGCCUGCCAGUACUUGAAGCCACUCUUACAGCUGACACUUUGAAAACCACCUACUCACACCACCAGGUUGCAUCGAUUUUCUGAUUUGACCCUCAGUUGAUUACAUUUGGAGUUAACAUAGUGGAUUGGUCAGGUGAAUGUUCUAAGUGUACAUACUGGCUGCUGGCAGCCAGCAAUCCUGGUGAGUUAUUCAAAGGGCAGUGACCUUCCCAACUGCAUUAUUAGAAAUUAGUGUAUACAGUACAUUUGACAUUGUGUUUGACACACAUUCCAUUUAUGUAGUUGUGAUGUAAAUGUUUAGGAAUCAUCACACUCUUGAGCCCCCUAGUCAAACCUAAAGAGGUGAGACUGGCAUGUCUACGUGGACAUAGUGGUUGCAUUUAACUGUCCUUGACUGUUAGUAAGGGAAAAGUAC